rnacentral:rRNA from 1 species
AGUGAACGCUGGCGGUAGGCCUAACACAUGCAAGUCGAACGGCAGCACAGCAAGAGCUUGCUCUUACGGGUGGCGAGUGGCGGACGGGUGAGGAAUACAUCGGAAUCUACUUUUUCGUGGGGGAUAACGUAGGGAAACUUACGCUAAUACCGCAUACGACCUACGGGUGAAAGCAGGGGAUCUUCGGACCUUGCGCGAUUGAAUGAGCCGAUGUCGGAUUAGCUAGUUGGCGGGGUAAAGGCCCACCAAGGUGACGAUCCGUAGCUGGUCUGAGAGGAUGAUCAGCCACACUGGAACUGAGACACGGUCCAGACUCCUACGGGAGGCAGCAGUGGGGAAUAUUGGACAAUGGGCGCAAGCCUGAUCCAGCCAUACCGCGUGGGUGAAGAAGGCCUUCGGGUUGUAAAGCCCUUUUGUUGGGAAAGAAAAGCAGCAGGUUAAUACCCCGCUGUUCUGACGGUACCCAAAGAAUAAGCACCGGCUAACUUCGUG